GGAUCGGUGACAGGUGCUGCAUGGCUGUCGUCAGCUCGUGUCGUGAGAUUGUUCGGGGUUAAGUCCCCGGCAACGAGCCGCAACCCUUGUCCUUAGUUGCCAGCAGUUCAGUUGGGCACUCUAAGGAGACUGCCGGUGUUAAACCGGAGGAAGUGGGGAUGACGUCAAGUCCUCAUGGCCCUUAUGUCCAGGGCUACACACGUGCUACAAUGGCCGGUACAAAGGGCUGCAAGACCGUGAGGUUGAGCGAAUCCCAGAAAGCCGGUCUCAGUUCGGAUUGGAGUCUGCAACUCGACUCCAUGAAGUUGGAAUCGCUAGUAAUCGCGGAUCAGCAUGCCGCGGUCGAAUACGUUCCCGGGCCUU
rnacentral:rRNA from 1 species